rnacentral:lncRNA from 1 species
AUUGCCUACCCGCUUGACUUACCAUGAUACUAUCACGAAAUUGAUAAUUAGACGUGAAAGUAACAAUAACGACGAAUCAAAACAACAACAAAUCAAAAUUAAUCCUAAUUCACUUUAACAAUUUUUAACUCGCGCCCCGAAUUCCCUUUAAACCACAUGAUUAGUGCAUGCUUCGAUUUUCCAAUCACAUCUCAUAAUCCGAAACCAACAUCAAACACAACACAAACAACGAAGAUUCAAACCAAACACACAACAAAUAAAUCAUCCACACCCACAAC